rnacentral:rRNA from 1 species
GAUGAACGCUAGCUACAGGCUUAACACAUGCAAGUCGAGGGGAAACGACAUCGAAAGCUUGCUUUUGAUGGGCGUCGACCGGCGCACGGGUGAGUAACGCGUAUCCAACCUGCCCACCACUUGGGGAUAACCUUGCGAAAGUAAGACUAAUACCCAAUGAUAUCCCACGAAGACAUCUGAAUGGGAUUAAAGAUUUAUCGGUGAUGGAUGGGGAUGCGUCUGAUUAGCUUGUUGGCGGGGUAACGGCCCACCAAGGCAACGAUCAGUAGGGGUUCUGAGAGGAAGGUCCCCCACAUUGGAACUGAGACACGGACCAAACUCCUACGGGAGGCAGCAGUGAGGAAUAUUGGUCAAUGGGCGAGAGCCUGAACCAGCCAAGUAGCGUGCAGGAAGACGGCCCUAUGGGUUGUAAACUGCUUUUAUAAGGGAAUAAAGUGGGUCACGUGUGACUUUUUGCAUGUACCUUAUGAAUAAGGACCGGCUAAUUCCGUG